rnacentral:pre_miRNA from 1 species
ACAAUAUCGGACCGUCGGUCUACCGAGUUAUUACACCCGCUUGUUGGAAGAUUUUCCCUUCGUCGU